AGUGAACGCUGGCGGUAUGCCUAACACAUGCAAGUCGAACGGCAGCACAGUAAGAGCUUGCUCUUACGGUUGGCGAGUGGCGGACGGGUGAGGAAUACAUCGGAAUCUACUUUUUCUUGGGGGAUAACGUAGGGAAACUUACGCUAAUACCGCAUACGUCCUACGGGUGAAAGCAGUGGAUCUUCGGACCUUUCGCGAUUGAAUGAGCCGAUGUCGGAUUGGCUAGUUGGCGUGGUAAAGGCCCACCAAGGCAACGAUCCGUAGCUGGUCUGAGAGGAUGAUCAGCCACACUGGAACUGAGACACGGUCCAGACUCCUACGGGAGGCAGCAGUGGGGAAUAUUGGACAAUGGGCGAAAGCCUGACGCAGCAACACCGCGUGAGUGAAGAAGGCCUUCGGGUUGUAAAGCCCUUUUAUUGGGAAAGAAAAGAAGUAGGUUAAUACCCCGCUGUUCUGACGGUACCCAAAGAAUAAGCACCGGCUAACUUCGUG
rnacentral:rRNA from 1 species